GACGAACGCUGGCGGCGUGCCUAAUACAUGCAAGUAGAACGCUGAAGGAGGAGCUUGCUUCUCUGGAUGAGUUGCGAACGGGUGAGUAACGCGUAGGUAACCUGCCUGGUAGCGGGGGAUAACUAUUGGAAACGAUAGCUAAUACCGCAUAAUAGCAGUUGUUGCAUGACAACUGUUUGAAAGGUGCAAUUGCACCACUACCAGAUGGACCUGCGUUGUAUUAGCUAGUUGGUGGGGUAACGGCUCACCAAGGCGACGAUACAUAGCCGACCUGAGAGGGUGAUCGGCCACACUGGGACUGAGACACGGCCCAGACUCCUACGGGAGGCAGCAGUAGGGAAUCGUCGGCAAGGGACGGAAGUCUGACCGAGCAACGCCACGUGAGUGAAGAAGGUUUUCGGAUCGUAAAGCUCUGUUGUAAGAGAAGAACGAGUGUGAGAGUGGAAAGUUCACACUGUGACGGUAUCUUACCAGAAAGGGACGGCUAACUACGUG
rnacentral:rRNA from 1 species